rnacentral:rRNA from 1 species
AUUCCAGCUCCAAUAGCGUGUAUUAAAGUUGUUGCAGUUAAAAAGCUCGUAGUUGGAUUUCUGCCGGGAGCGUUAUGUCUUUCGCCUUGCGCGACUGAACGUUGUCGUCUUUUGGCAUCCUUGCGGAGAUGCGUUUUGGCGUUAAGUUGUCGGGGCGUGGAUUCGCAUCGUUUACUGUGAAAAAAUUAGAGUGUUUAAAGCAGGCAAUUGCUGUGAAUACAUUAGCAUGGAAUAAUAAGAUAGGACUUGUUGCUAUUUUGUUGGUUUGCACGACAAGUAAUGAUUAACAGGAACAGUUGGGAGUAUUCGUAUUUAAUUGUCAGAGGUGAAAUACUUGGAUUUAUGAAAGACGAACAACUGCGAAGGCAUUUACUAAGGAUGUUUUCAUUA